rnacentral:lncRNA from 1 species
GACAAUAGAAAUAUGCAAGAUAUCAACUCCCCCAAACUUGUUCUUUUACUUGUCCACAAGUGAACUUUCUAGAAUUCAUAGAGAGAGAGAGGUUUUAAGGUGGGGAGCUCAUAGCGAAAAGAAACACAACUAGCACUCAACUCAACAUCUAAUCCAACCUGAGCACACUCUCUUAUUACACUCUAGCUUCUCUAGGCCUAUCUCAACUCCUUUUUACCCUUAUUCUCAUCAUCAAGCAUCCACACAUUCAAAUCAACCAACUCUCACAUUCAUUAAGCAUAAAACAUUGAGUGAAUUCUUGCAAAUGGUCAAUUGGUUCAAAUCAUUUGGUUGAGUAAGGGAAGGCUUUUAUUCAAGUGGGUCAAAAGGUUCAAAAUCCAUGAUCUUUUAAAGUGGUUUACUCUCAAAAAUCUUUUUUAUAUAUAUAUAUAUAUUUUUUUUUUUUUUGGACCAAGACUUUUCAUAAACUCUAGCUAGACGUUUAUCUAUUUAUUCUAAUAAGAUUAUCCAUUUAAACACAAAGAGUCAAUUCUUUUCCUUCAAACUUUUCAUGCUUCCAAACCAUAGUCACAACACUCACCCCCAC